GUUUAGCCCCGAUAGCAGUGGAAAUCCUUUUGGGGCGGGGUUCGGCCCAAAAGAUUGCAACGAAUAGCGGGACGACUG
rnacentral:sRNA from 2 species